GGUAGGUAGGGGAGCGUUCCGCUCUCGGGUGAAGUUUUCACGUAAGUGGGGAUGGACGAAGCGGAAGUGAGAAUGUCGGCUUGAGUAACGAAAACAUUGGUGAGAAUCCAAUGCCCCGAAAACCUAAGGGUUCCUCCACUAGGUUCGUCCAUGGGGGGUUAGUCAGGACCUAAGACUAGGCCGAAUGGCGUCGUCGAUGGCAAACAGGUUAAUAUUCCUGUACUAAUUAAAUUAGGAUCUGAGGGACGAAGGAGGCUAAGCUAGAACUGUUUUUGGAUUGCAGUGGAAGCGUUUAGACGUUGAGAGACAGAACAAAAACUGUCUUGAGUGGAGACGUGAUCCCUAUUUGGUGCGUAGCAUCGAGUAGCUAGUGAUGUCAUACUUCCAAGAAAAGCUCAUACAUCUUUAUAAUUUAAUUACCUGUACCUGAAACCGACACAGGUAGGUUGGUAGAGAAUACCAAGGGGCGCGAGAGAACUCUCUCUAAGGAACUCGGCAAACUGGCCCCGUAACUUCGGAAGAAGGGGCGCCCAGGAUUAAUUUCUUGGGUCGCAGUGACCCGGCCCAGGAGACUGUUUACCAAAAACACAGGUCUCCGCAAAGUCGUAAGACAAUAUAUGGGGGCUGACGCCUGCCCAGUGCCGGAAGGUUAAGGAAGUUGGUUACUACUUUGUAGGAAGCUGACGACCGAAGCCCCGGUGAACGGCGGUCGUAACUAUAACGAUCCUAAGGUAGCGAAAUUCAUUGUCGAGUAAGUUUCGACCUGCACGAAAGGCGUAACGAUCUGGGCGCUGUCUCGGAGAGAGACUCGGUGAAAUAGACUUGUCCCGUGAAGAUGCGGACUACCUACACCUGGACAGAAAGACCCUAUGAAGCUUGACUGUAUCUUGGAAUUGGGUUCGGGCUUUUCUUGCGCAGCCUAGGUGGGAGGCGAUGAAGAUUACCUUCCGGGGUAAUUAGAGCCAUCAGUGAGAGACCACUCUGGAAGAGCUAGAAUCCUAAUGGGGAUCCUUGAAUCAGGACCCUUGAGAGUUUCAGGUGGGCAGUUUGUUUGGGGCGAACGCUCAUAAAAGGUAACUGAGGUGUGCAAAGGUUCCCUCAGUCUGGACGGAAAUCAGACAUUGAGUGUAAAGGCAAAAGGGAGCUUGACUGCAAGACCUACAAGUCGAGCAGGGGCGAAAGCCGGCCUUAGUGAUCCGACGGUGCCGUGUGGAAGGGCCGUCGCUCAACGGAUAAAAGUUACUCUAGGGAUAACAGGCUGAUCUUCCCCAAGAGUUCACAUCGACGGGAAGGUUUGGCACCUCGAUGUCGGCUCAUCACAUCCUCGGUCUGUAGUAGGUCCCGAAGGGUUGGGCUGUUCGCCCAUUAAAGUGGUACGUGAGCUGGGUUCAAAACGUCGUGAGACAGUUUGGUCCAUAUCCGGUGUAGGCGCUAGAGCAUUGAGAGUAGCCUUUCAUAGUACGAGAGGACCUGAAAGGACAUGCCAAUUGUGUACCAGUUCUCGUUCCAACGGGAAACGCUGGGUAGCUACGCAUGGAUAGAUAACUGCUGAAAGCAUCUAAGUAGGAAGCUAAACUCAAGAUGAGUGCUCUCAUAAGGCCGCGGCUAGACAAGCCGUUAUAUAGGUAUCAGGUGUACAGUCAGCAAUGGCUUCAGCCGAGAUAUACUAAAGGCCGUUUGAUUUUGAC
rnacentral:rRNA from 1 species